rnacentral:rRNA from 1 species
GAUGAACGCUGGCGGCGUGCCUAAUACAUGCAAGUCGAACGCUUCACUUCGGUGAAGAGUGGCGAACGGGUGAGUAAUACAUAAGUAACCUGGCAUCUGCAGGGGGAUAACUGAUGGAAACGUCAGCUAAGACCGCAUAGGUGUAGAGAUCGCAUGAACUCUAUAUGAAAAGUGCUACGGGACUGGUAGAUGAUGGACUUAUGGCGCAUUAGCUUGUUGGUAGGGUAACGGCCUACCAAGGCGACGAUGCGUAGCCGACCUGAGAGGGUGACCGGCCACACUGGGACUGAGACACGGCCCAGACUCCUACGGGAGGCAGCAGUAGGGAAUUUUCGGCAAUGGGGGAAACCCUGACCGAGCAACGCCGCGUGAAGGAAGAAGUAAUUCGUUAUGUAAACUUCUGUCAUAGAGGAAGAACGGUGGAUAUAGGGAAUGAUAUCCAAGUGACGGUACUCUAUAAGAAAGCCACGGCUAACUACGUG